GACGAACGCUGGCGGCGUGCUUAACACAUGCAAGUCGAACGGAAAGGCCCUGCUUUUGUGGGGUGCUCGAGUGGCGAACGGGUGAGUAACACGUGAGUAACCUGCCCUUGACUUUGGGAUAACUUCAGGAAACUGGGACUAAUACCGGAUAGGAGCUCCUGCUGCAUGGUGGGGGUUGGAAAGUUUCGGCGGUUGGGGAUGGACUCGCGGCUUAUCAGCUUGUUGGUGGGGUAGUGGCAUACCAAGGCUUUGACGGGUAGCCGGCCUGAGAGGGUGACCGGCCACAUUGGGACUGAGAUACGGCCCAGACUCCUACGGGAGGCAGCAGUGGGGAAUAUUGCACAAUGGGCGGAAGCCUGAUGCAGCAACGCCGCGUGCGGGAUGACGGCCUUCGGGUUGUAAACCGCUUUCGCCUGUGACGAAGCGUGAGUGACGGUAAUGGGUAAAGAAGCACCGGCUAACUACGUG
rnacentral:rRNA from 1 species